rnacentral:lncRNA from 1 species
CCCACCUCCCGCAGAGGGGCCCUGAGGAGGUUUGCGCUCACCUGCAGGCCGCCCCAGGACCCGCCCCCUACACACUCGCGAGCGCUCACGCGCGCGCACACACACCUCUCUCACGCGCGCCGUGUGCAAUGCAGAAUUCUGAAGAGUAGGCGCUUCCCCCCGCGGGCCAGAGCGUGGGAGCUGCCCAAGAGCGCGAGUUGGGAGAAAGGCGUCCAGAGAGCGCUGGCGGCCCGGGCUCACUGCACCGGCAGAGGUUCCUGGGGCGUGCUUCUGCCGCGGUAGCCUCCGAAGAAGAGAAAGAGGAAGACGAGGAGCCACCAAGCCAACUUAGGGACUUGUCCUUAGCCAGCGAGACGCAGCGGCCCCCACGCAAGCCGAAGACGCUUGGAGCUCCGGCGGGCGAGAGCGUCUUCCGCCCGCAGCCACCCUCCCCGGAGGCGGGUUGAGG